rnacentral:rRNA from 1 species
AACGAACGCUGGCGGCAUGCCUAACACAUGCCAGUCGAACGAGACCUUCGGGUCUAGUGGCGCACGGGUGCGUAACGCGUGGGAACCUGCCCUUAGGUUCGGAAUAACUCCCCGAAAGGGGUGCUAAUACCGGAUAAUGUCUUCGGACCAAUGAUUUAUCGCCUUUGGAUGGGCCCGCGUUGGAUUAGCUAGUUGGUAGGGUAAAAGCCUACCAAGGCGACGAUCCAUAGCUGGUCUGAGAGGAUGAUCAGCCACACUGGGACUGAGACACGGCCCAGACUCCUACGGGAGGCAGCAGUGGGGAAUAUUGGACAAUGGGCGAAAGCCUGAUCCAGCAAUGCCGCGUGAGUGAUGAAGGCCUUAGGGUUGUAAAGCUCUUUUACCCGGGAUGAUAAUGACAGUACCGGGAGAAUAAGCGCCGGCUAACUCCGUG